AAAAUUUUAUUGGUGCUGAGGUAGCUUGCCUUAUUGUGGAAUAGUCAGCCAAGAUAUUUGCACAGUUUGACUAGUGUUAAUUUUCAUUUUUAUUGAGAUUUUACACAAAAGGAGCAAGAAAAUAGCAAGCAGUAUAAUUUACAUAUCACAGCAUAUCCAAGUUACACAGUGGCAGCAGCAAAUGCCAACAGGCACAGUAUGGAGCACAGGACCCAAGAGCUCAGUCAGUCACAUGACUAGUGGGAGAUGUGCAGGCAUCAGAUGAAUUAUGUUAAAAAAGUGAUUGGUGGGGAGGAAGUGUUGGAUUUAAUGUAAGCCCUCUCCUGACAAAGGGGAAGGCUGCCUUUCAGUAGUGAAAGGGUGGUUAUUGGGUGGUGAAAUGGGAAUUGGCAAUAGGCUCUACUGGUGAAUGAGUGACAGGAUCAAAUCUGUCACCACUGUCCCCUUCAUAUAACUUACGGAUUGCGAUUUUUUUCCCUUAAAGAUGGGUUGCACAGGCUUGUUGGCCAUCUGAACAGGAAAGUGCUGCUUUAUCCCUUCAGGAAAUAAGGAAGAUUUUGUCUGACUGACUUUAUGGUCAUGUCAAGUCCAAUCACAGAUGAGUCCUCCAAGAAACUAAAGAUGUUGUUCUAUGAUGAAGACAAACACACUUUUAAAACAGAGGGCGGACAUCUACAAUUUAAAAACAUAAUGUAUCUCACAGCUCCCAUGACUUACUGGAGGAGGAAAGUGAAAACAACUACAACAACAUUUUAAUUUCUUGUUUGGUUUUGUGUUUUCUUUUGCAAAGGAAAUGAUGCAGCUCAUGUUAGUUUAGUAAAAUUAGCACCUACAGUGUCUAAGCAGGAGAACAAGAAUAUACAAUUAUAUUUGACUGCAGAACAAGAACACACAAUUGUUUUUUUUUUGUUUGUUUGCUUUGUUUUGUUUUAUUUUGUUUUUUAAUCUCUUCUUUACAUUAAAGAAACAGCUGCAUUUUUUAUUAUUAUUAUUUUUAUUUUUACUGCCAGUGCAUCUUUGCUGUUUGGAAAACUAAAUAAAUGGUUACAGAUGAGCCGUAACAGAACUUUUUUCAAACUAAGCUGCAGAGAAUAAACGUUUAAAUAUUCUCUAGGUACUAGUAGUAAUUCUGGGUAAGACAGAAAAUGGAUGGUAAACUUUUGUUCCAAAAUUUACCUGUAAGCAUUGCUAUAUUUCUAAAGCUCCUCUCUUCUCCCUCCCCUCUUCACAAAUUCCCUCCCCUCUUCAUUCAGUUACAUCACAUGUUCAUACAUGUAAAUAUGCAUAUCAAACAGUUCAUAAAACAAGCACUGCAGAAGAGCUAGUGACUUUUAUUUGUAAAUUAUUGCUAUAGAUUGGGUUGGAUUUUUUAAAAGGGAUAUUAACAUUCCCUACUGCUAAUUCUGAAGUAAAUAAAAUGAUACGAGGUAGAUGAAUUUCUCAAAGGUUAAGUAGUUCUCAUUUGAUUACACAUCUGAAAAUCCAUACUUAGACUACAACUUUAGAAACUGAACUAGAAAUAUCCCUAUAUUUACAGCAGUUACUGAUUGCUCUUAGACUAGAACUAAUAAAGAAGUAGUCCUUUUUGGUUUUUCUGAACAUCCACUUUUGAUCCUUAUCUGGACAAAUUAAAUUUUAAGUGAGAAACAAUGGAGCAAAGAUGUAACAUGGCCAGAGUUUUAAAUGUCAUAAUUUCCUCCAUUUCUUAGUUACUGUUAUCCUACAUUGAUCUGUUCCUCUGCAAGCAGUGACAGUUUUAGAACUGAGACACAUUUUAAAGCUCUCGAUGUGGGUUUUGCAUAGGGAUUAUCUGAAGGACUCCAAGGGAAAGGGGAUCUUCAGCAUGCUGGUUGGUGCUUCAGCAUGCUAAACAAUUUACUGACCUAUCCAGAAGUGUUCAAUCCACUACCAUCCAUGCAGGACAUACAGCCUUUGUGGAACACCAGUGUUCAUUUCAUAUUUCAGGAUCAAACGUGACAUUUGUAUCCACACACAACUUUCAUUACUUGGUUUUGUUAUUGCACACAAUAUAAAAAAAAAAAAAAUAGAAAUGAUAUGGCUUGUAAAGCUGGCAGAACACUACUCAAAGGUGUACUGCCAUCUUCUGGGAGAAUCUAUCCAGUUUUGAAGCCAGAUGAAUUAGUUACUUUGUCCAACUUCUGCCCGCUGUAGUGAAGAAGAUGUUGUUUUCCAAGCAGCUGACAGUACAGCUGAAAGGUUUGCAUUUUAGCUUUAUAAUGUCUUGCUUCAUUCAGGACCAAGAAACAAACAUCAUCACAUCAUACAGUAAUGUGUACUAGCACAUCAGACUGCUUAAGAAAAUCUCUUUUAUGGCCAAAGAAGACAUGAUAACAUUAGUAAUACAUUAUCUUCAGAGUGAUCAAAAUUUUUAAUUAUCAUCUCUUCAAGUCCUACUCCUAUUCAAUAUUCCAAAGGAAAACACAAAUUGGUUGUGUUCAAUUCACAGAGAUUCAUUAUGAGUUUGAGAUAUAUCAGCCAAUCUUCAAAUAAUUAAAAAGUUACUUUUUAUCUAUUUUUCAUCUACUGACGCACACUGACCCUUUGGAUCAGGCUAUUAAUAACCUGAUUUAUGACAUCUUCCAUGCUUAGACAGAUCAGCAGGAAAUCAGCUUCACGAACUUGCAUGUCUCUCUAAAAACAUUUUAAUAGUGCUAACAAAAAGCUUGGAUGUCUCAGAUGAAAAGCAACCACUCCAGUCAUUUCAAAUAUUUUUCCAUAUAAUAAUGUUGUUGCUUUUUCGUAGACUAGAAAAACACUGCCUGAAAUCUCUUGCAGAAUUUGCAUGAAUUCACUGAAUUUAAGGCUAAUAUAUACCAAAUCUCCACUGCCUUUUACAAGUGCAGAUGUAAGGAAGCAGAGAAACUGUUUAUUCUGUGAGCAAAUGUUAUCUAAUGAAACGUGUUUAAACUAAAACAUCUGUCUAAUUAAGCCUCAAAUUCCCAAGUAACAAUAUAUUUUGCUGCUGAUAUUGAUAAGCCAUGGACAUGCCAAUGAUUAUCAGCUAUACCCAAGAAAAGACAAAAAAUCAUAUUACCGUGUGAAUCGCUAAUAAUCACCGAAGUUGCCAGGGCUCUUAACUUACCCUCUUUCUGUUCUAUCUCUUUUUGUCAUAGGCUGGAAGUAUGUCAGAGAGAGGGGAGUUAGAAGGUUUACCCAUUAGUCACUGCUGAAUCUCAUAUUUAAUAUUUAUGCUAAUAAGCCAUCCCCAAGCCAGUUUAUCAGUUAAUGCACGGAGACUCUCUGUCAUCCUACGAGCAGUAAUACUCAUCAAAGCAGAUUUUAAAGCAAAUGCUUUAUGCUGAAAUGAAACAAAACCACUACUAGGGCUGAUAAAUGCUGGUAAGCCCAGGACAGGAUGCAAAGAGGUCAGCAAUUCCUCCGCUGCCACCACCCUGUCACAGCUCAGACUGACUGCUACAGAACAAGCAGUCUGCAACCAGCUGCUUUUUGCAUGUCCCAUCUAACUCUGACCUUCGGCAGAGCUCAGCUGGGGCUCUCCACACAGUAUUCGGAGGGCAAAAGUUAAUUGAAACCAAUUAGGCUGCAAUGAUGUUGUCUAAUGAACUCAGACCAGCCAUGUACAAAGACUACCAGGCUUUUUGUUACCAUAAACAUCCUUGGUGUUCAAAAGGAUGCAAAAUACAGGUAUUUUCUAAUCUCUGUUUACUCUGCAACUUGGUUUUACCAUUUUUAGGAACAUCUGUGGAGCUCACAAGUACUAGAGUUAACUAAUGAAAAAGGCUGCCUGAUCCAAGUAGCUGACUCUUGUCAUAUAACUUCUUAUUCUCCUGCUAUUAUCUACCCAGCUGAAAGGACCCUGCAAAGAAUGGCAGUUACUGGACGAAAAGAGAGGUUCACUGACAUCAGUAAUGCAAUUCAUCUUCAGUACUCCCACGAAAAGCUUAUGCAUACAAAUAGAAGCUCACAGAAGGAGGCAUGUGCUUCCCCUGCACAGUUCUUCCACACUGUAAAUACUCUUUGGAAAGCUUACAGUGGACAGACAGCUACAGUAGGGAGGUAUUGACAUUUGUUUUGGGGCUGGGAGAGGAUUGGGUGAGAGAUUUCUUCUUGGAAUGUGAUGCAUUGAAAUGGAAUUAUGAGCUAAGUGUCCAUACGCACUCACGUCAAGUAAAAAUGAGGCAAUUCAAUUUGAAAUUGGGACCAGAUGCACUUCCAAGAUCCAGGCAAGCUUCUGGGGCUACAGAUGGAUGGAAAUAAUUUGCUGACCAGGUAAAAGAAAUCUAUGAUUUUGUCAAAACCAGCAGUCACAAAGUAACAAGGUAAAAGACAAUAGUCUUUUUUUUUUUUUUUUAAUGCUGAAUAGAGUCCUGCUAUCCCAUACUGUCUCAGGAGGAAAAAACAAACAAAAUAAAAGGGGUGGGGGGGGUGGAGAAAAAUUUCAGUAAAAGAGGGAGAUACAAAACAUAGUGGAUCUGUCUUCCAGAAAAAAUGAAGGUAAAGCCCUCACUCCCCUCUCCUGAAAAAGCCAGUGCGCCCUGUGGACUAACUUUAAUAUACUUCUCUGUGUAGGAAAGAUACAGGAACAUAACAACCUUGAACAUGGGACCUAUCCAAAAACAGGUUUACAAACAUCUCCCAUCCAUGAGGACCAGAAACAAAAGGACUGGAGGGACCUGUGGUACAGGGAUUACUAAACCUCACUGAGCACAGCUGUGACUACACUGCAUAUUUUCCUUUGCUUUGCCCUUGCUUUCUUCUGUAAAGCUCUAAAGCUCUGAUGAUCUUUGUGUCAAAAAAAAAAAAAAAAAGCUGUUCUACUGUAGAAAGCAAUAAGCAAGUGGAUUUCGAGAAAGGUUGCAGGUCAUAAUUUUUUUGCAAAUUAAUAUUCUGUUCUGUGGAGAAAAUUAAUUCAGGAUGUCAUCACUCGUUACACCUGUCAUUCAAAAUAGAUAGUUCCCAGAGGAAGAAGUGCUUGAACAGCUCCUUCCACCUCCUUGCCCAUGCACCUUACCCUCCUCAAAGUCUGUGUUUGGCAGAGGCUUUCUCCUGGGCUUCCCAAAGUCACCUUGCAGCUUCCUAGCAAGACUCCCUCUGACCAGGAGCCACACAAAUGCUUGUGUUUGCUGGUAGCCUCCAAGGAACAAACAAAGAGCUCUUCCCCAGGCUCAGAGAAGAGCCUCUCACCUCUCUCCUAUGCAUGUGCUCUUGCAGAUGACUCAGACUGGGUCAUGGAUUUUGGCUUUCUUCCAGGCCGAAUCCAUUUGAGGUCCAUAGACAUGUUGCAGACAGCAGCACGUCUGUCUGUCCUCUGCAACAGUCAUAACUGCAGAUUUCUAGCAUGCUCAUAGUAAUAAUUUUAUGGAAGGGUUCAGAAGAAAUAAAGAUGAUUUGAUACAAGUUAUUCUCGGUUAUUCUAAAGCCCACAGUAUUUAUUAAGGAUGCAUAUUCAGUUUGGGACACAAUAUAAACUCUUGGUUUUAAGAAUUAUUUGAGCACCCCCUAUUUCAAUAUGUCAUGACAUGAAAAUGAAGCAUUAAAAUCAUUAAAUAUAUCAGCAAUGAUAAUUAAAUAUGUCAGCAAAAAUAUAUUGCUGACAUUUGAUUUUAUAUUGAAAGUAUCCUUAAAUUAAUAUUGGAGAGACAGGUCUUUUAGCUGAGUUGGGGAAAGUGCUGGAAAUAAAUGUUUCUUUACACCCUCAGAAUUCAGAAACGUUUCAACAAAUGUUUCAAACAUUUACAAAGCCAUAUGUGUUAAAAUACAGUUUCUAGUGAGCUAAUCUAUGAAUCUCAAAAUGAACAAAAAUGAUUACUCACUUUCCCACAGGAAGAAAUCAUCAAGUUUCACUCAUGCUCCUUUUCCUGAAUGAUUAACUAUACUUCUGAAUCAACAACAGAUGACCUGCAGUAACCAUUCACAAGGGGCUAAAGUCAUAAAUAGAUACAGUCCCAAAAUAUAUUUAUUUAAAAUAUAAACAACUCUCAGAUCAGCAGAGCAACAUGAUAGGUUUGCUCAGCACAUAUAAAGAUAUAAGUAUCAAAUCUUCCCACAACUUAGAGCCUGUACAGUUUUCCUGGAUAAUCCAUACAAGCAAAGCAAUGAGAUCUAACAACAGGAAGAAAAAGAAAAAAGAAAAAAGAAAAAAGAAAAAAAGAAAAAAGAAAAAAAGAAAAAGAAAAAAGAAAAAAGAAAAAAGAAAAAAGAAAAAAGAAAAAAGAAAAAAGAAAAAAGAAAAAAGAAAAAAGAAAAAAGAAAAAAGUCAGAUAUAGAUAUAAAUAUCUAUGCUAACAAUGAAUACAGGCUGGCUAUGUUUCACUGACUGCAAAAAAAAAAAAGCAUAUCAGUUUUAUCACGACUUGCAAACAAGUGUUCAGAGACAUAAUUGAGCUCAGAUCUCAACAUCAAUGGAAAACUCAAUUGUAUCAGCAUCAACAAAGCUUUUCUGAUAUAAAUAUAAAUAAUGAGAAGCAGCUACACCAAAGACAUGGAUAAAUAUAGAAAAAAUCUGUCAAUAAAAAAGACUGCACUGCCCAAAUAGAAUCAAACAGAAUGUGCUGGAAGCUAAAUCUUAUUACUGUUUUAAUGAUAUUAAAGUUAUCUUCUAUCAGCAGACCAUUUUCUAAAAGGUUAGGAGGCAGCUGGAAACACCUAUCGAGGGUACCUCUGAAGAUGCUAUCUCCAGAAGCUGUGCUCCAGAGAAUAUCAUUUCUUUCGAUUCCUUUGUAAAGUUCUCCAACUGUUGUGGUAAAGCAGAGUUCAAAGGUUUGAACUGCCCCAUUAAUUCAUUCAGGGCUUUAUCAUGCUGCCAAUAACUCACAUGUCAGGGAUGCCAUUACUUUUCUCUUUUAAUCAAAGAGAGAAAGGACUGCAGAUCUGCACAGACAGUUGCUGUGAAUGUUGCCUUAUUUAGGUUUAUGUUGAAGGGUCAAAGAGCAGGGGAAGCUGUGGGGACUAACAAGAAAUAUAUUCCCUCCAGUUAAGGAGCCAUGUGCAUAGCCAAGCUCAGCUGAAGAGAACUAUACAAGGCAUGUGGCUGGGCUCAAAGAGUGGCUCAACAAUAUUUUUACUGUGAUUGACAGGUGAAACACUUGCUAUUGGGAUACAGAGAUGCAAUUUUUCAACAAUACUGCUAGGAGCUAAACAGGUAGGCAAGGCAUAGAGGAAUAAGGUUAUCAUAUCCCUGACUUUCUUCCAUUCGUCUUUCACAACCAAAUUUAAGAGGCUGCUUGAAUUUAAAUUACGUGUCUUGAAACUUUAGAGCACUUAUAAUAAAUAAUUUUGUGGCACAGGUGAGGCCAGUGUUAAAUACCAUGAGAUUUCAUCGUUCAUUCCAUGAAUGAUGAAGCUUUAGAAACUGUAGAAGUCUGGCAUCUAUUCAGAAGUUGAUUGAAAUAUUUUGUUCAAAAUUACAGGAGACUUGGUACAAAGUUUAAAGACUGUGUAGCCAUUAUAUUAUUCAUAAGGCACUCUUUAAGCACACAAGGACUGGCUGAUCAGCAUGUCAAACACAGGAAGAUAUAUAUUAAUGGAGACAAAAUGUAACAAAGAAAGAUUUAUAUCAGUGUCACUGAGAUAAUGACCAGCUGGAGCUGGGGCUGGGCAAGGGGCCACAAAGGAGCAGGAAGAAUCCUUAAGCCACUUCUAACAACAAACCUCCAUCUUCACUCUCCCCAGCUUGAGCUCAGCUCCCUUACUCCCUAAAGGGUAUGAAAAAAAAAAAAAAAAAAAAAAAGAAACUCUUCCUUCUUGCAAAAGCCUUUCACAUAUAUUAAGAAUGAUAUAUCUGUCCAAGUAUUCUCUUCUGUAGACUAAAAAGCAUAAAUAUUAAACAAUAAUAUUAGAACAAUUUCUCUCUUGAGCCCUUCUAUCCACUUUAGUACUCUACUUCUGCUUACCAGCCACUAAGCAGUUACUGAUUGAUGCUAGUUUGUUUACUGGAAAGAGCUCCUUUUGAAACACAUCCACCAAUUAUUCCAAAGGAACAUAAAUAUCCAUUUGUAACUACUAUUUAAAACAAAUAAUCUUCUCUGUGAUCAGAUUUCAUGGUUAGAUUCCUAUCAAACGAAUCACAUAAAUCGAUGGGGUCCACCAGGCUUUUCAUGUGCUGGUUUGUUGUGUUUUAAGUAUGCUGGAUAAUGAAGCUCUCACUUGUAAAUUUGUUAAAAUGGGCUCAUUUCCUUUCUCAAGAUAUGAUUUUCUUGCAACUACAUUUUAGUUUUCAUCUCAAGCAAAGUAGACCAUUCUUUUUUCUUUACCAAUCACCAUUUGAGUGUCACACACAACAGAAGGCAAUGGAUUGGCUACAGCAACCAUGGAAGUGACAUGGAUUUUUGCUCUGAAUUCUCCAAGGAACAUAAGCAUUUUCCAAAGAAUACAACUAAAAGUGGAUGAAAACAUUUUUUUGUGAAUAGAGAAUUCAUUGAAAAGGGCUGUGACAGAGAGACCAACUUUAUUUCUAAACCCAGCCCAGAGUUGGUGGGAAUUUUCCACAAACCAAACAAA